rnacentral:rRNA from 1 species
AUUGAACGCUGGCGGCAUGCUUUACACAUGCAAGUCGAACGGUAACAGGUUAAGCUGACGAGUGGCGAACGGGUGAGUAAUGCAUCGGAACGUGCCCGAUCGUGGGGGAUAACGCAGCGAAAGCUGCGCUAAUACCGCAUACGAUCUGAGGAUGAAAGCGGGGGACCGUAAGGCCUCGCGCGAUCGGAGCGGUCGAUGUCAGAUUAGGUAGUUGGUGGGGUAAAGGCUCACCAAGCCAACGAUCUGUAGCUGGUCUGAGAGGACGACCAGCCACACUGGGACUGAGACACGGCCCAGACUCCUACGGGAGGCAGCAGUGGGGAAUUUUGGACAAUGGGCGAAAGCCUGAUCCAGCAAUGCCGCGUGCAGGAAGAAGGCCUUCGGGUUGUAAACUGCUUUUGUACGGAGCGAAAAGGUCUCCUCUAAUACAGGGGGCUCAUGACGGUACCGUAAGAAUAAGCACCGGCUAACUACGUGCCAGCAGCCGCAGUAA